rnacentral:rRNA from 1 species
UACGUAGGGUGCGAGCGUUGUCCGGAAUUACUGGGCGUAAAGAGCUCGUAGGUGGUUUGUCGCGUCGUUUGUGUAAGUCCACGGCUUAACUGUGGGAUGGCAGGCGAUACGGGCAUAACUUGAGUGCUGUAGGGGAGACUGGAAUUCCUGGUGUAGCGGUGAAAUGCGCAGAUAUCAGGAGGAACACCGAUGGCGAAGGCAGGUCUCUGGGCAGUAACUGACGCUGAGGAGCGAAAGCAUGGGUAGCGAACAGGG